GACGAACGCUGGCGGCGUGCCUAAUACAUGCAAGUAGAACGCUGAAGAGAGGAGCUUGCUCUUCUUGGAUGAGUUGCGAACGGGUGAGUAACGCGUAGGUAACCUGCCUUGUAGCGGGGGAUAACUAUUGGAAACGAUAGCUAAUACCGCAUAACAAUGGAUGACACAUGUCAUUUAUUUGAAAGGGGCAAUUGCUCCACUACAAGAUGGACCUGCGUUGUAUUAGCUAGUAGGUGAGGUAAUGGCUCACCUAGGCGACGAUACAUAGCCGACCUGAGAGGUGGAUCAGCCACACUGGGACGGGAACACGGCCCAGACUCCUACGGGAGGCAGAAGUGGGGAAUCUUCGGAAAUGGGGGCAACCCGGACCGAGCAACGCCGCGGGGGUGAGGAAGGUUUCCGGUUCGUAAGGUCCGUUUUUAGUCCAGGAACGGGUUGAGGGUUGAAAAGUCCCCCCGGGACGGUAACUUAACAGAAAGGGACCGCUAAAUUCGUG
rnacentral:rRNA from 1 species